rnacentral:rRNA from 1 species
GUUACUGCCUGGGAGUGGGGCGUGGUGAUACGGUGGGUGCAGGGUUGGGUCGGAAGCGUUGGUGGUAAAGGGCGGGUGGGCGGCCGGUCAAGUCGGAGGUGAAAUCCCUCGGCUCAACUGUGGAACUGCCGCCGGUACGGUUCGGCUUGAGUCCCGGAGAGGGGAGUGGAAUUCCCGGUGUAGCGGUGAAAUGCGUAGAGACCGGGAAGAACACCAGUGGCGAAGGCGGCUACCUGGACGGGUACUGACGCUGAAGCGCGAAAGCUAGGGGAGCAAACAGGAUUAGAUACCCCUGUAGUC